UACGUAGGCAGCAAGCGUUGUUCGGAGUUACUGGGCGUAAAGGGCGCGUAGGCGGUCAGACAAGUCAGCUGUGAAAACCUCGGGCUUAACUCGAGGCCUGCAGUUGAAACUGCCUGGCUGGAGUGUGGGAGAGGAGAGUGGAAUUCCCGGUGUAGCGGUGAAAUGCGUAGAUAUCGUAAGGAAGACCAGUGGCGAAGGCGGGUCUCUGGACAGUUCCUGACGCUGAGGCACGAAGGUCAGGGGAGCAAACGGG
rnacentral:rRNA from 1 species